GUUGAUCUGGCUCAGAUUGAACGCUGGCGGGAUUUAUGCAAGUCGAACGCGGCAGCACGGACUUCGGUCUGGUGGCGAGUGGCGAACUGGUGAGUAAUGUAUCGGAACGUGCCUAGUAGCGAGGAUAACUACGCGAAAGCGUAGCUAAUGCCGCAUACGCCCUUCGGGGGAAAAGCGGGGGACCUUCGGGCCUCGCACUGUAGAGCGGCCGAUAUCGGAUUAGCUAGUUGGUGGGGUAACGGCUCACCAAGGCGACGAUCCGUAGCUGGUUUGAAGGACGACCAGCCACACUGGGACAUUGAGACACGGCCCAGACUCCUACCGGGAGAGGCGGCAGUGGGGCUGGACAAUGGGGAAGCCUGAUCCAGCCAUCCCGCGUGUGCGAUGAAGGCCUUCGGGUUGUAAAGCACUUUUUGGCAGGAAAGAAACGGCACGGGAUAAUACCCCGUGCAACGGUACCGCAGAAUAAGCACCGGCUAACUACGUGCCAGCAGCCGCGGUAAUACGUAGGGUGCAAGCGUUAAUCGGAAUUACUGGGCGUAAAGCGUGCGCAGGCGGUUCGGAAAAGAAAGAUGUGAAAUCCCAGAGCUUAGCACGGAACUUCCAUUUUUAACUACCGAGCUAGAGUGUGUCAGAGAGGUGGAAUUCCGCGUGUAGCGAAGUGAAAUGCGUAGAUAUGCGGAGGGAACACCGAUAGCGAAGGCAGCCUCCUGGGAUACUUACUGACGCUCAUGCACAGCGUACUGGGGAGCAAACAGGAUUAGAUACCCUGGUAGUCCACGCCUAAACGAUGUCAACUAGCUGUUGGGGCCUUCGGGCCUUGGUAGCGCAACUAACGCGUGAAGUUGACCGCCUGGGGAAUGCGGUCGCAAAGAUAAAACUCAAAAUUGACGGGGACCCGCACAAGCGGUGGAUGAUGUGGAUUAAUUCGAUGCAACGCGAAAAACCUUACCUACCCUUGACAUGUCUGGAAUCCCGAAGAGAUUUGGGAGUGCUCGCAAGAGAACCGGAACACAGGUGCUGCAUGGCUGUCGUCAGCUCGUGUCGUGAGAUGUUGGGUUAAGUCCCGCCAACGAGCGCAACCCUUGUCAUUGAAUUGCUGCAGAAAGGGCACUCUGGUGAGACUGCCGGUGACAAACCGGAGGGGAAGGUGGGGAUGACGUCAAGUCCCUCAUGGCCCAUAUGGGUAGGGCUUCACACGUCAUACAAUGGUCGGGACAGAGGGUCGCCAACCCGCGAGGGAGUGAGGCUCAGAAACCCGAUCGUAGUCCGGAUCACGGUCUGCAACUCGACUGCGUGAAGUCGGAAUCGCUGGCAAUCGCGGAUCAGCAUGUCGCGGUGAAUACGUUCCCGGGUCUUGUACACCGCCCGUCACACCAUGGGAGUGGGUUUUACCAGUAGUUAGCUAACCGUAAGGAGGGCGAUUACCACGGUGCAGGAUUCAUGACUGGGGGUGAAGUCGUAACAAAGGUAG
rnacentral:rRNA from 1 species